rnacentral:lncRNA from 1 species
CUAACCCACCAAAAUUAAACCCAAAACCUAAAAUCUUAACUACCCAAAGCCCAAUUUACAUCAAAACCCCAAUGGCCCAAACCCUAAGCCCAAAUCAAAAUAAAAAAACCUAGCCCACAACUUAAACUUUUCUCAACUAGCCACACAUUUUCCACCACCAACUCCACUAGCCACACCUUUUCCACCACCAACUCCACUAGCCACUCCUUUUCCACCACCAACUCCACUAGCCACACCUUCUCCACCACCAAAUCCACUAGCCACACUUGCUCCAUUACCUACUCCACUAACCACAUUUGCUCCACCACCACUUGUACCUACAAAUGAAGACAUAAACAAUAAAAAAAUAUUUUGUAAAUGGCUAUAUAAGCCUUCUCAUAUUUUGUAAAAGGAGGGGGAUUUUUUUUGGAGAGUUUUUGGGAGAGAAAGUUAUUGUAAAGGAUUUUUGGAGAGGUUUCUUUUUAAAGUAAUUAAGGAGAAGAGUUAUUGUGAAGGCUAGUUUUUGGAGAAGCUAGUUUUUUUGAAGAUUAAUCAAAGAUCAAAGCAAAAGAGGUUUUUUUGUCUAUUCUCAUUUUAAGUUCUUUGUUUACUUAUUGUUUUCCUUUCAAUCUUAUUUUGUUUCUUUUAUACGAAAGUAAAAAAAAAAAUAAAAGGAGGAAGCUUACCCAUUUUUACUGAAAAAGUUUUUUUGAGGUCCGGCUGCCGUGUACGGUGGCGCCGGCGGUGGUCCAGCGACCGGACGAUGGCUGACCUUGUGGCCGAAAAUCAUCCACCCUCUCCCUCUCUCUCCUUUUUUGUUAUUAUUAUAUUUCUUAAUAUUAUAUUAUAUAUAUUCUUUUAAUAUAUUAGGUAUAUUUUAAAUUCUAUAUUACGUAUAUAUAUAUUUUAUACUAUUUUAUUUAUAUAUCUUUAAUAUUAUAUUAUUUAUAUAUAUAUUUUUCUACAUGUUAUCUUAUGUAUAUAUCUUAACUAUAUUAUGUAUAUAUUUUUAACACUAUAUUAUGUACAUAUUUUUAAUAUUAUCACGUAUUUAUUUUUUAUAUAUGUACAUAUUGAUGUAGUAUUAUUAAUAGUAUUUUUUUAAACAUCGUUACUAUUUCUAAUAUAUAUAUUAUGUACAUCUUUUUUAUUUCUAUUUUAUUUUUUAUUUUUCAAUAUUAAUUAUUAUUAUUCUAAUAUUUUGAUAUUUUAAUAUUUUAUAUUUUAUAUAUUUUAUUAUUCACAUCAUUGUUCGUAUUUUUUGACAAUAAUAUUCUUGGAUUUUUUUUACUAUCAUUUUAAAAACUUUUUACAUUUUAAUUUUAAGAAUAAGGCAAUGUAUCAAUUUUAACAUUAAGUCAUCGAUUUCAUCGCUAUGUUGGGUGAAAUUAAUCGGCCCGUGUUAAAAACGGGACGUCCUUCUAAAAAACAAAAAAAACUUGCAACUUCUCAUUUCCUUCAAUCGGAUCACACUUAAAUGUCAAAUUGAAUUCGUAUUUUUGAAAAUCAAGACAACAUGUGUUUAAUAAUAUACCAAUUUUGGGCGUCGCGAGGGUGCUAAUACCUUCCUCGCGCGUAACCGACUCCCGAACCCUAAAUUUUCUCUGGAUUUUAACGUAGACCUAAACUCAACCUUUUAUUUGUUUUAAUAAGAGAUCUAAUAGGUGUCCGAUCACACCUAGGAAAAAGGAUCGGUGGCGACUCCCUGUUUAUUUCAAAAAUCAAACGUCAAAUUUCAAACUUUUUUUCAAUAAAUCGCCACAAUUAGCGACCAAGCUAAGCUAAAAUUUUUACGUCGCUACAGCUGGCGACUCCACUGGGGACCCUUUUUGAGAGUCGUGUCUGGAAUUAAACUCGCGUUGUCAAAAUUUUCAAAGUUCCUUGUUCAAAUUAACAUUUAGUCGUGAUCCUCAAAUUUUUUCGUUUUCAAAAUUCAUGCAUUUGUAUCGUGUUGUAAAUAUUUCUUCUAACUUGCUUAUUUGGUUGUUUUUCAGUUUUUAAUUUUUAUGGUUUUAAUUUUGGUUUAGUUUCUUUAAGUGAAACGUAAAGGUUUAUGAGUUGUUCCCCACACACUGUGCACUUGCAUUUUCGCAUAACAUGAGCUCUCUACCCGGGCUCCGUCCGUUUAAGUGAAAGUAAACGCUACGCCUUCGUGAGUUAACUCGUCCCUCCGCACAGGCUAGUGAAUACUUUCGAGUUACAUAUGAUUUAUGCUUUUGUGAGUUAACUUGUCCCUCCGCAUAGGCAUAAGUAAAUGUAACCCCUCGAAUUGAACUCGUGAGCCUGUGAUAGGCUAUGACCGAGGCUCCGUGUUAAUCUUAGUAGAUGAUAGUACGGGCAAUUCGAGUACCUAUCUAGAACCAAAACCGCAUAUAAUGAACCAUACGAGCCACCUAACUAGAGCCAUGCUGAACCUCCGUCCGUUUAGUAGUCACCAAAAUAAGUGCACGGGAGGAACGCCUCUUACCUUUUGCACUUUCGCUUUCUAUGCAAGGGAAUCGAGUCCAUUGGACCAAGUAGCUUAAUUUGUUAGAUUUUCCACAAUUUUUCUCUGAUCAUAUGUGUUUUGCUAACCAAUGUUGUUUGUCUGUAUUUCUAUUUUUCAUCAUGCAUCAUAUACAUCUUGUUAGGAAAGGGUUGAUUAGAGAUUGGUUGCCAAAAAGGGGUUUCUGAUAGAGGAGUCAAUUACACGAGUGACCGAAACGUUGUGUAAUAGACUCUUUUGAUUAAGGAAAUGCCUAAAUAGGGGCUAUCUUGAAAUUAACACCAAUUUCUUGCAUUUCUUUCAUGACUAACAGUCAUUUGACAUUCAUGCAUUCAUUCAUUCAUUGCAUAUUCCAUACUCGUUCGCUGAGGUUAAAACAUACAAUUCGCUAGUUGUGCAUACCAUACGGGAAACCAGGGACAUUCCACGAAAAACUGCCUAGCCUUUAAGAGAAGAGUUCAAGGACUCAUUGAUACAGGUAUCCUACGAUUCGAUAGUGCCAGUAAUGCAACUGGGAACCCAUUCCCUAACCAUAUCGAAAGGGAUGUGAGCAUAGUGGGGAAAGUGGACGAAUAAAAAGUCAGAAGAUGUGUUUCGGAAAUAAGGACGCCUCUGCAGAAAAUCUGGGAGGUACUGGUUAAGAAAGGAUUGCUUUGUCACCCCGAUAGAAUUCUCGGAGAAGAAGGUCAAAGUUUUUGCAAUUUCCAUGGAAUUGUGGGACACGACAUUCAGUCGUGUGAGGAAUUUAAAAGGUUACUUCAAGACCGGAUGGAUAAUAAGGAGAUUAAGAUCCUUAACAAAAGGGAAGAGACCAAUGAAAGAGAAGUAUGCGCCUCUGAUAGCCAUUCAUCAGCUCCCCCUUAUAGCGCUGAUCAACCGUUAGUAAUUUAUUACGAUGCGACGAAAGAGCCAGUGAAACCAAAAAUGAUAAUCGAAGUACCAUCUUCUUUCCCUUACAAGGACAAUAAAGCAGUACCAUGGAAAUAUGACGUUAAUAUCGUCACACCUGAAGAUGAAAAACCCAAAGCCAUGACUGGAAGCGUCGGGGAAUUAGGUCAUUUCACUCGUAGUGGAAGAUAUUAUUCGAAGGAGAUAAAGAAGAACAGUGACUUGAAACAGAAAGGAAAAGCACCGAUGCAUGUGACCGAUGAUGAGCAUGAAACUGCGCCUGAACAAGAAGCUAAAAAUCCUGUGGACGAGGAGGAAGCACAGGAAUUCUUAAAAUUUAUUAAGCAUAGUGAGUACAACGUGGUAGAACAAUUGAGUAAGCAGUUAGCGCGAAUCUCGGUAUUAUCUCUGCUGUUGAAUUCAGAACCACACCGAAACGCUCUGCUGAAAGUGUUAAAUCAAGCUUAUGUGGCAAACAAUGUAUCCGUUGAAAAAUUGGAUAGGUGGAUGAACAACUUGAAUGCGGAUAAUUUCAUUUCUUUUAGUGAUGAUGAAAUACCGCCCAAUGGUAGAGGCUCAGUGAAAGCAUUGCAUAUCACAACCCGUUGCAAGGGCUACAUAAUACCGAACGUGCUCAUCGAUAAUGGUUCGGCACUCAACGUUAUGCCUUUGGCCACGCUUUCCAGAAUUUCGAUGGAUCUGUCCCAUUUAAGGCCCUGUCAUUCUACGGUAAGGGCAUUCGACAGGACAAGGCGUGAAGUCAUGGAAAAAAUUGAGAUCCCUUUGGAAGUGGGUCCCUACAUAUAUGAUGUCGAGUUCCAAGUCAUGGACAUUACAUCCUCAUAUAACUGUCUUUUGGGAAGACCCUGGAUCCAUUCUGCUGGAGCGGUCCCAUCAUCCCUCCAUCAAAAGGUGAAAUUUAUCAUGGAUGGCUGUUUGGUCACUGUCGAGGGAAAAGAAGACAUUGUCGCAUCUAUCUCUACUGAUGCGCCAUACCUUGAAGUGAACAAGGACGUAGUGGAAUGCUCCUUCUGAUCCCUUGAAUUCGUCAAUGCCACAUUCUUCACUGAGGGAAACAAAAUUCCCGUGCCUAAAUUGUUGAGAAAUACUAGAAUGGGUGUCAAGUUGACUGUAGGAAGGGGAGCUCGAGUGAGAAGAGGUUUAGGGAGAUAUCUGCAAGGAAUAGUCAGGGCUCUAAAACCAGUGCAUCAUAAGGCCCGAUACGGUUUGAGGUUCUAGCCGGACAUGCAUCAAAGAAGAAGACAGUGGAAGAAAGAUCAAGAAAGAAGGAUCGCGAGAACCUUAGGCCGAGAACCAGAAUGGGAGCCUAUGGAGUUCCCUCCUUUGUCAAGAACAUUUACGUUUGCGAGAAUGAUAUACCCGAGGCAGGACAAUGCACAAGGCACAAUGUUAAUGAUCGAAAAGGGUUUUCAGAACACCAGUAUAAAUGUCAUUGACAAAGGAGCUGACACAAGUAAGGAUGUCUCAAGGAUACGCCUUUGUCCCCCUGGUUUCAUGUUGAACAAUUGGACUGCCGAGGAUCUUCUUGUAGUUUAUAAGUCUUCAAAGUAAUGCUCAAACUUUAACAUUCUAUUGUGUCCUUAGAUAUAAUAGAAUUCUUUUGUAGGAGCUUGCAUUCGCUCUUUAUCAUUUAAGUGAAUAUCAAUGAAGAUGCAUUUUGUCACGAUUUUUCGCAUUAUCACUAAUUUCAUAAUCAUUUUCUCAUUUCAUAGCCUAUCCUUACAUUUGCCUCAUUGCCAUGACAUAACAUUUUGUUUGUUGUUUCCAAUACUUGGAUGUCCCCCGAUAGCUUCCUUUUCCAUUCAACUUUCAGGUGCUCAGAUAUUGACGACAUGAAUAAGCCCGUUACGAAUCUUGAAAUUGAUUUUGAGAAGGCUGUUUACUUAGGAGAAUUUGAAGCCGAAGAAAAUGCUGAAGAUUAUGUCUCGUCUCCUGAAUUGUUAAGAAUGGUGGAACAAACAGGUUCUGCCUCAUGAAGAAUCUGUGGAAACAAUAAAUUUGGGCACUGAAGAGAGGAAACAAGAAGUGAAGAUUGGGACUUCUAUUUCAGAAAGUACCAGGCAUAGUUUGAUCACUUUACUCCGCGAAUACAAAGAUGUUUUCGCGUGGUCAUACCAGGACAUGCCAGGGCUAGAUGAAGAUUUAGUGGUCCAUAAGCUCCCAUUAAAGCUAGAAUGCAAGCCCAUCCAGCAAAAAUUAAGACGGAUGAGGCCCGAAAUGCUGUUGAAAAUAAAAGAGAAAGUCAAGAAACAAUUUGACGCUGGCUUCCUACAAGCCUCCAAAUAUCCAGAAUGGGUGGCUAACAUAGUCCCGGUACUAAAGAAAGAUGGAAAAGUACGAAUGUGCGUGGAUUACCGUGACCUGAAUCGAGCAAGCCCAAAAGAUAAUUUUCCCUUGCCACAUAUUGACACGUUGGUGGACAACACAGCAAAACAUUCAUUGUUUUCUUUCAUGGAUGGAUUCUCGGGGUAUAAUCAGAUCAAGAUGGCCCCUGAGGAUAUGGAGAAAACUACCUUCAUAACAAUGUGGGGAAUGUUCUGCUACAAGGUGAUGCCAUUCGGGUUAAAGAAUGCUGGGGCAACAUAUCAGAGGGCUAUGGUGACAUUAUUCCAUGACAUGAUGCAUAAGGAAAUAGAGGUCUACGUUGAUGAUAUGAUUGCUAAAUCUCGAGGAGAAGAAGAACAUGUAAUGAACCUCAAGAAGUUGUUCGAAAGGCUGAGAAAGUUUCAGCUAAAGCUUAAUCCAGCCAAAUGUACAUUCGGGGCUACCUCGGGAAAAUUGCUAGGCUUCAUUGUCAGUGAAAGAGGUAUCGAAGUUGAUCUAGAUAAAAUAAAAGCCAUCCAAGAAUUACCUCCCCCGCGCACACAAAAGGAAGUCAGGGGAUUUUUAGGGAGGUUGAAUUACAUUGCUCGAUUCAUUGCUCAACUUACCAACCAAUGCGACCCAAUUUUUCGACUCCUUCAAAAACAUAACCUGGGAGAAUGGAACGAGGAGUGCCAAGUGGCCUUCGAUAAGAUAAAACAGUAUCUGUCUAAUCCUCCUGUACUAGUACCACCGACCCCUAGAAAACCCUUAAUUUUGUACCUGACCGUGUUUGAAAACUCAAUGGGUUGCGUACUGGGGCAACAUGAUGAGUCAGGGAGAAAAGAAAAGGCGAUCUACUACCUCAGCAAAAAGUUCACUGAAUAUGAGGCAAAAUAUUCGUCCGUUGAGAAAUAUUGUUGCGCUCUGGUUUGGGUAGCUCGGAGACUCAGACAAUAUAUGUUGUAUCACACGACAUGGCUAAUUUCAAAGCUGGACCCAAUAAAAUACAUGAUGGAAUCACCGGCACUAUCAGGAAGAAUGGCAUGAUGGCAGCUCCUCCUUUCGGAAUAUGACAUUGCCUAUGUAAGUCAGAAGUCAAUAAAAGGGAGCGCAAUAGCUGACUUCUUAGCAACUCGAACGACAGAGGAAUAUGAGCCUUUAAGAUUCGAUUUCCCAGACGAAGACUUAAUGUGCAUCACAAAAAUAGAAUCCGAGUCAUCAAAAGAGAAGUCAUGGAAGAUGUGCUUUGAUGGUGCGUCAAAUGCUUUAGGGCAUGGAAUUGGAGCAAUCCUGGUAUCACCAGACGGGAAUCAUUAUCCGUUCACUGCAAGACUGAACUUCUUCUGUACCAAUAAUAUCGCAGAAUAUGAGGCCUGUAUCAUGGGGCUUCGUGCAGCUAUCGAACGAAACAUCGAGAUCUUGGAGGUGUACGGGGACUCAGCCCUAGUGAUUUACCAAAUCCGUGGAGAAUGGGAAGUGAGGGACUCAAAAUUGAUUAAGUACAGCGAUUUAGUGGCUGGAUUGAUCAAGGAAUUCAAAGAAAUAACUUUUCAUUACUUCCCACGAGAAGAGAACCAACUGGCUGAUGCCCUAGCGACUUUGGCUUCAAUGUUCAAAGCAAGUAGAGAAGCAGAAAUAAUGCCCCUCAAAAUGAGCAUAUACGAGGUCCCUGCACACUGUUGUAGCAUUGAGAAAGAAGUAGACGGACGGCCUUGGUUCCAUGAUAUCUUAGAAUAUACCAAGAAUCAAAGGUAUCCCGAACAAGCGAAUGAGAACGAUAAAAGAAUAAUUAGAAGAAUGGCAGCGGGAUUUGUUCUUGAUGGGGAUAUCCUGUAUAAAAGAGGAAAGGAUCAGAUGCUUUUGAGAUGUGUGGAUGAUGUUGAAGCCAGAAAAAUACUUGAAGAGGUCCAUGAGGGAAUUUGCGGAAUGCAUGCCAAUGGUUUCAAUAUGGCCAGAAAGAUCAUGAGACUCAGUUAUUAUUGGCUGACAAUGGAAAGUGACUACAUCAAUUUUGCCAGAAAAUGCCACAAAUGUCAAAUCUACGGCGAUAAAAUUCAUGUAGCCCCUUCACCCCUUCAUGUCAUGACUUCUCCGUGGCCUUUUUCUAUGUGGGGCAUGGAUGUCAUAGGGCCAAUUUCUCCAAAAGCUUCAAAUGGACAUCGAUUCAUUUUUGUGGUUAUCGAUUACUUCACAAAAUGGAUUGAAGCCGCUUCGUUUGCCAAUGUGACGAAGACUACAGUGUGCAAGUUUUUGAAAAAGGAAAUCAUUUGCCGAUAUGGUUUGCCUGAAAGAAUCAUCUCAGAUAAUGUCACGAAUCUGAACAAUAAGAUGAUGAAAGAAGUGUGCGAGCAGUUCCAAAUAAAGCAUCAUAAUUCCUCGCCCUAUCGCCCAAAGAUGAACGGGGCUGUUGAAGCAGCUAACAAGAACAUUAAGAGGAUCAUUGGGAAAAUGACUGAGACAUAUAAAGAUUGGCACGAGAAACUUCCAUUUGCUUUGUUUGCAUAUCGCACAUCUGUGCGAACAUCUACGGGAGCAACUCCUUUCUCUCUAGUUUAUGGAAUGGAAGCUGUACUACCUAUCGAGGUUGAGAUCCCCUCUCUGCGAGUAUUGAUGGAAUCAAAGUUAGAAGAAGCAGAAUGGGUUCGAGCUCGAUAUGAUCAGUUGAACCUCAUUGAAGAAAAACGUCUAAGGGCAAUUUGUCAUGGGCAAAUGUACCAAAAGAGAAUGAUCGCAGCCCAUGACAAGAAGGUACGACCAAGAGAGUUCCAUGAAGGAGAACUCGUUCUGAGAAAGAUUCACCCAAUACAAAAAGACCUGCGAGAAAAAUGGGCACCAAAUUGGGAAGGACCAUACGUUGUAAAAAAGGCAUUCUCAGGAGGAGCUUUAAUCCUUACCGAGAUGGAUGGGAAGGAGUUACCGAAUCCGGUGAAUUCAGAUGCGGUGAAGAAAUAUUAUGCUUAAGAUGAAAACCCGAAAAGGGCAUCUUAAAAAAAAGGGAUCAGGGCGAAAACCCGAAAAGGGCGUCUUGAUUAGUACAAAAAGAUUAGGAUGAAAACCCGAGAGGGCGUCCUAAUGAAACAAACCUGGCGGUCGAACGAUAGGUCAAGUAGUGAGACUACAGUAUUUGAAGCACUUCUGAAAGCUCGAAAUUUUCUACGCAAGAAGCCAUGCUCGAAAAGAUUAUUGAUUGAGGAACGUGGAAGAGUUCAUGUGUUGAAUAUCUAGAGCAUUUGUAUCCGUUGAAUACGACCUUUUCUUUCUUUUUGACAUUUUUACUCUCAUUGGUUAACUUUCUUUGUUUGCCACAUUUGAAAUAAAGGAAUAUGAGAUAUCCUUUUUAUCCCUACCUGACCAUUUUCAUGCAUCUCAUUAUGUGUUUAUUUAAUGAUAAAUAGUGAAAUGACAUACUCUAAACAAAAGAAAUGUCAAGCAUUACCCGGAUAAGAAUUCGAUAAGUGCAAGAUCUUCAAAGCAAGAACAAAGUUUAACCAAGGGCAAAAGGGUGAUAUCUGAGAAACGUCGAUUACUCGUAAAGCUCGAAGGUAGGUAUGAGGCCUGAAGAGAAGGUCGAGAAUCAAAGCAAUGAACGCAGAUCCUCAACAAUCAUGGCGAAAAUGACAUACGACCAAUAUGCUUAAGGAGCACUGCAUAAUCAUGUAGGCAUAAAGGCAUUUAAGACAAACAUGUGCAUAUCAUGAUGACAUCAUGCAUGGCAUAUACAGGUAAUCCAGUAAAGCAAGAAAUCUUGAAUGAGAGUCGCACUGAAUCAAAGGAAAAGAUACCCGAGUUCUACCAAAGGACUGGUUUUGGUAUUUUGAUGUUUAAUAUUCAUGCUUUCCAAGGAAAAUCAACUCAUAUUGCGAGAGAUGAGUUGAGCCUCAAGACACGUUGAUGUAUUUUUAAUUUUUUUUUUCAAAAUCAACUCAUAUUGCGAGAAGUGAGUUGAGCCUCGGGGCACGCCGAGGUAUUUUUAGUUUAUGUUUUAAAUUGACUCAUAUUGCGAGAGGUGAGUUAAGCCUUUUAAUUUUUGUUUUUCAAAAUCAACUCAUAUUGCUAGAGGUGAGUUGAGCCUCAGGACACGCUGAGGUAAUUUCAAUUUCUGUUGUUAAAAAAAAAUCAACUCAUAUUGCGAGAAAUGAGUUGAGCCUCAGGACACGCUGAGGUAAUUUCAAUUUCUGUUUUUAAAAUUCAACUUAUAUUGCGAGAAAUGAGUUGAGCCUCAAGACACGUUGAGGUAUUUUCAAUUUCUGUUUUCAAAAAAAAAAAAUCAACUUAUAUUGCGAGAGGUGAGUUGAGCCUCGGUUCACAUGCUGAGGUAUUUUCAAUUUCUGUUUUUAAAAAAAAAAAAUCAACUCAUAUUGCGAGAGGUGAGUUGAGCUUCAGAUUACACACUGUGGUAUUUUUUCAAUUCAUAUUGCGAGAGGUGAGUUGAGCCUCAGGACACGAUGAGGUAAUUUCAAUUUCUGUUUGUCAAGAAUCAACUCAUAUUGCGAGAGGUGGGUUGAACCUUUUAAUUUCUACUUUUUCAAAAUCAGCUCAUAUUGCAAGAGGUGAGUUGAGCCUCGGGGCACGCUGAGGUAUUUUCAAUUUUUGUGUUUUAAUUUCAACUCAUAUUGCGAGAGGUGAGUUGAGCCUCAGGACACGCUGAGGUAUUUUCAAUUUUCGUUUUUUUAAUUUAUGUUUAAAAAAAAUCAACUCAUAUUGCGAGAAGUGAGUUGAUCCUCAAGACGCUGAGGUAAUUUCAAUUUUUGUUUGUCAAAAAUCAACUCAUAUUGCGAGAGGUGAGUUGAGCCUCAGGACACGCUGAGGUGGUUUUAAUUUAUGUUCAUAAAAAAUUAGCUCAUAUUGCAAGAGGUGAGUUGAGCCUUGGCUCACACGCUGAGGUAUUUUCAAUUUCUGGUUUUCAAUUUCUGUUUUUCAAAAAUCGACUCAUAUUGCGAGAGGUGAGUUGAGCCUCGGGACACGCUGAGGUAAUUUCAAUUUCUGUUUGUCAAAAAUUAACUCAUAUCGCGAGAGGUGAGUUGAGCCUCGGCUCACAUGCUGAGGUCUUUUCAAUUUCUGUUCUUCAAUUUCUGUUCGUAAAAAAAAAUCAACUCAUAUUGCGAGAGGUGAGUUGAGCCUCAGGACACGCUGAGGUAAUUUCAAUUUCUGUUUUCAAAAUUCAACUUAUAUUGCGAGAAAUGAGUUGAGCCUCAAGACACGUUGAGGUAUUUUCAAUUUCUGUUUUCAAAAAAAAAAAAAAAUCAACUUAUAUUGCGAGAGGUGAGUUGAGCCUCGGUUCACAUGCUGAGGUAUUUUCAAUUUCUGUUUUUUUUUUAAAAUCAACUCAUAUUGCGAGAGGUGAGUUGAGCUUCAGAUUACACACUGUGGUAUUUUUUUCAAUUCAUAUUGUGAGAGGUGAGUUGAGCCUCAGGACACGAUGAGGUAAUUUCAAUUUCUGUUUGUCAAGAAUCAACUCAUAUUGCGAGAGGUGGUUUGAACCUUUUAAUUUCUACUUUUUCAAAAUCAGCUCAUAUUGCAAGAGGUGAGUUGAGCCUCGGGGCACGCUGAGGUAUUUUCAAUUUUUGUGUUUUAAUUUCAACUCAUAUUGCGAGAGGUGAGUCGAGCCUCAGGACACGCUGAGGUAUUUUCAAUUUUCAUUUUUUUAAUUUAUGUUUCAAAAAAAAUCAACUCAUAUUGCGAGAAGUGAGUUGAGCCUCAAGACGCUGAGGUAAUUUCAAUUUUUGUUUGUCAAAAAUCAACUCAUAUUGCAAGAGGUGAGUUGAGCCUCAGGACACGCUGAGGUGGUUUUAAUUUAUGUUCAUAAAAAAUUAGCUCAUAUUGCAAGAGGUGAGUUGAGCCUUGGCUCACACGCUGAGGUAUUUUCAAUUUCUGUUUUUCAAAAAUCGACUCAUAUUGCGAGAGGUGAGUUGAGCCUCGGGACACGCUGAGGUAAUUUCAAUUUCUGUUUGUCAAAAAUUAACUCAUAUUGCGAGAGGUGAGUUGAGUCUCGGCUCACAUGCUGAGGUCUUUUUAAUUUCUGCUUUUCAAUUUCUGUUUUUUUCAAUUUAUAUUUUUCAAAAAUCAACUCAUAUUGCGAGAUGUGAGUUGAGCCUUGGGUUCACAUGUCGAGGUAUUUUCAAAAUCUACUUUUGCGAGAAGUGAGUUGAGCCUUUGCUCACGUGCUGAGCUAUUUUCAAUUUCUGCUUUUCAAAAGAAUCAACUCAUAUUGUGAGAGGUGAGUUGAGCCUUUGCUCACGUGCUGAGCUAUUUUCAAUUUUUGCUUUUCAAAAAAAUCAACUCAUAUUGCGAGAGGUGAGUUGAGCCUCGGGUCACACGCUGAGGCAUUUUCAAUUUCUGCUUUUCAAAAAUCAACUCAUAUUGCGAGAUGUGAGUUGAGCCUUGGGUUUACAUGUCGAGGUAUUUUCAAAAUCUACUUUUGCGAGAGGUGAGUUGAGCCUUGGCUCACAUGCUGAGCUAUUUUCAAUUUCUGUUUUUAAUGUCUAGUUUUACAGAGUCAAUUCAUAUUGCGAGAAAUGAGUUGAGCUCAGGAUCACAUGCCGAGUAAAGAAUCAAUAUUAGAGCUGAUUGAAGACACCAGAUUUUGUCUCCCUGAAGUUGCAGUGGAGUUGAUCGAGGAUAUCAGAUCUUGCCUUUCUAAAGUGGCAGAAGAGAAGACCCAAAACCUUAUCUCACUGAAGCGAUAGAAGAGCAUAUUGAAUUACAUUGGAACAGAUUGAAGCUAUAAGGCAUAUCUCCGAAUUUGCAGUGGAUUGAACCAAAGCUACAAGAUGCGAUGGACUGGAAAGAGACUACCUGGAUGAGAAGAGCACCAAAGAAGUCCAUACUUAGCAAGACCGGGCAAAAUUGGCCUUUCUUUAUAUCUUUGCUCUAUUCUCGUUACACGAUAAUAAGCAAAGAGAGGCAGCUGUUGUAGGCCAAUUUUAGCCCAUUUACAUCAAAACCCAAUUUAGCCUUACCUAACCCACCAAAAUUAAACCAAAAACCCAAAAUCUUAACUACCCAAAGCCCAAUUUACAUCAAAACCCCAAUGGCCCAAACCCUAAGCCCAAAUCAAAAUAAAAAAACCUAGCCCACAACUUAAACUUUUCUCAACUAGCCACACAUUUUCCACCACCAACUCCACUAGCCACUCCUUUUCCACCACCAACUCCACUAGCCACACCUUCUCCACCACCAAAUCCACUAGCCACACUUGCUCCAUUACCUACUCCACUAACCACACUUGCUCCACCACCACUUGUACCUACAAAUGAAGACAUAAACAAUAAAAAAAUAUUUUGUAAAUGGCUAUAUAAGCCUUCUCAUAUUUUGUAAAAGG